rnacentral:rRNA from 1 species
GCGGGGGCUGUCGGAUUAUUGGGCGUAAGGGCUCGCAGGCGGUUUCUUAAGUCUGAUGUGAAAGCCCCCGGCUCAACCGGGGAGGGUCAUUGGAAACUGGGGAACUUGAGUGCAGAAGAGGAGAGUGGAAUUCCACGUGUAGCGGUGAAAUGCGUAGAGAUGUGGAGGAACACCAGUGGCGAAGGCGACUCUCUGGUCUGUAACUGACGCUGAGGAGCGAAAGCGUGGGGAGCGAACAGGAUUAGAUACCCUGGUAGUCCACGCCGUAAACGAUGAGUGCUAAGUGUUAGGGGGUUUCCGCCCCUUAGUGCUGCAGCUAACGCAUUAAGCACUCCGCCUGGGGAGUACGGUCGCAAGACUGAAACUCAAAGGAAUUGACGGGGGCCCGCACAAGCGGUGGAGCAUGUGGUUUAAUUCGAAGCAACGCGAAGAACCUUACCAGGUCUUGACAUCCUCUGACAAUCCUAGAGAUAGGACGUCCCCUUCGGGGGCAGAGUGACAGGUGGUGCAUGGUUGUCGUCAGCUCGUGUCGUGAGAUGUUGGGUUAAGUCCCGCAACGAGCGCAACCCUUGAUCUUAGUUGCCAGCAUUCAGUUGGGCACUCUAAGGUGACUGCCGGUGACAAACCGGAGGAAGGUGGGGAUGACGUCAAAUCAUCAUGCCCCUUAUGACCUGGGCUACACACGUGCUACAAUGGACAGA